GCCAGGCAUGAUGGUGCUUGCCUGUAGUCCCAGCUACUCAGGAGGCUGAGGCAGGAGGAUUGCUUGAGCCCAGGAGGUUUAGGCUGCAGGGAACUGUGUUUGGCCCACUGCACUCCAGCCUGGGUGCCAGAGCAAGACCCUGCCUCUA
ensembl:misc_RNA Metazoa_SRP Metazoan signal recognition particle RNA